AACAGAUAGACACUUACAAUAGAAGUGAAUGGGGCCCAUUUUUGAAUGUUAAAAUACUGUUUCAAAAGUAUAGCCUCAAGACAUAAACACUAUGUGACAUAUGUGUGUUAACAUGAGGUUAGUGAUGUCGACAAACCCUAAAAUGACUGUAAAAAAUAUGUUUUAGACAACUUAGCUCGAAUAAUACAUGAGUUUUAACAGAAGAAUUAAUGUAAGUGCUUUUAUAAAAUUAUAAACUGCCAUUAAACCCUUCAAAAAAUGUGCCCCAUUCACUUUCAUUGUAAGUGCCUCACUGUAAUCUUUUUUAAAGAAAAGGAGGUACAAGUCAAAUUUAUUUGUUAUGGUAAUCAACAUUAUGCCUCAAAUGCUAUCGAUUGAGCUUAACUUGUAUUGAACCUGGAAUAUUCCUUUUAACACUCAAUUAAUAGGCUUUAGCAUUACCAUGUUGCUAAGUUAACUCGGAUUGGAUAAUUUGAUGUUUAUGACUGUUUUCUUGGUAUUGAAUACAUUCAUUUUAGAAUUGGCAUUUCUCUGAAACAUGUUGGAUGUAUUUUUUCACUGUGCCUUAAAAUGUUGCCUUGUUGGCAGCUCACAUUUUAUGUUUUCCAGAGUAAUAAACUUCUGUGUUUGAUGGAAAACAAUAUUUUGCAUGAGAACCGUGGGCAACUUGUAGUACUUCAUAAGGUCAUACCGUAUGCUUCUAACCAAAAUGUUAUCAUUACCACCCCCCACCCAUGAGUUCAUGAGUUAAAUUAUAUGUCUAGAACUCACAGCCAUCAAUAUUGUUGCAUGUAAGGUCUUUUAUCUCCCCUUUAAUAUUUAUAGGAUCCUUGGGAAGACAGUAGUCUGCCAUCCAAUUGUCUUUGAUCUUUGUGACUUUUACUUGUCCCAGGAUGUCAUGCUUUGAUUGAUGAUAUCAAGGUUGGGAGUUGGGUGAUUUCACACCUUGCUGGUCCCUCAUAUAAAACAAGAAAAGAAUGCCUUGCAGUUUAUUAAAUAGUGCUGGAAGAUUCUCUUACUGGCCCUUAUCAGAGAGUGAACAUUAAGGGGAGCCGCUUCAACACAAUUCUGAACAUGCUGGCAUCUUUCAAGAAGUUAAACAUUGGAGGAGCUAAAGUAUAUGUCAAUAUACUUUAGACACUGAUAUCAAGUGCUGUGGUAGAGCGAACAACUGGGUUUUCUAUGUGUCAAUGAAGCUGAGACUGUGUCUAGGAUCCCAGAGUUUAAGAGCUUUGAGGAGCUGGAGAUUCCCAAGCACUCAAAGGUGAAGCAUCAGACCAGCACACCAAAUGCCUCUGACCAGGAACAGCAGCCCGAUAUCAACAUCGAUGAAUGGUUCCAAAAAUCCACAUAUGAGAUUUUACAGAAAUUCAAUGACUGUGACUGUCUGGCCUGUAAAGCCCAGCUGGCCAGUGUUCUCUUGAAAAAAAAUAGGCCCUAACUUUUUCAACAGAAACGAUAUGGAUGAAUGAAACUGGAAUGAAGAGUGACAUUGUAAAGCAUAUUUAUCUGACAUUUUUUGUAUAAGAAUUUGUUAAAUUACACAGUAAUAUGAUUGAAAACUGUGCAGAAUGUGAAUCACAAUCGAGGCAAAUGAUCAUCACUGUCAAACUCUAACUAUGUUGCUGUGAGCUCUUUAUUUACUAUCACAUUUACUAAGACCUGAAAUAAUAAAUAAAAUAAUUAAUGUCAAGUUAUUAGCUUUAAUUUUCCUUCGAGCAAAUGUAGGUGUCCUUGCUGAUGUUAUACAUGAUCAUUUGGGAAUGAGGAAUGAAACCAUUGCAUGAUAUUCUCGAGAUUAAUUAAAAUAUAUAUUUUUUUUAAAAGAAAGAAAAAACACUGUGUAUCCUCUUUAGUUACUUCUUGUCACUAUUAAUAUGGCCCAGCAACAAGGAUAAUUUCUGUAAAAUUCCUAUUAAAACUGCUCAAACACACAUUACUCCCAUAGACUCUCCUUGGAAAAAAGCAAGCGCUUGUCAAAGCAAUGGCACACAGUAACAAUUGCUAAAACUGGAUUGGUCAGAAAUGCUAGUAAGGCAGGGAUUAGCGAAGGAUCAAUU